GCUAUAUACAGGGUGUUACGGUACAGAGUCAAUGUGGAGGCUAUAUACAGGGGGUACCGGUACAGAGUCAAUGUGGAGACUAUAUACAGGGGGGUAGCAGUACAGAGUCAAUGUGGAGGCUAUAUACAGGAGGUACCGGUACAGAGUCAAUGUGGAGGCUAUAUACAGGGUGUUACGGUACAGAGUCAAUGUGGAGGCUAUAUACAGGGGGUACCGGUACAGAGUCAAUGUGGAGGCUAUGUACAGGGGGGUACCGGUACAGAGUCAAUGUGGAGGCACCGGUACAGAGUCAAGUCUGAGUAGCCAUUUGAUUCAUUGUUCAGCAGUCUUAUGGCUUGGGGGUAGAAGCUGUUUAGAAGCAUCUUGGUCCUAGACUUGGCUCUCCGGUACCGCUUGCCGUGUGGUAGCAGAGAGUACAGUCUGUGACUAGG
rnacentral:lncRNA from 1 species